CCUACGGGAGGCUGCAGUGGGGAAUAUUGCACAAUGGGCGCAAGCCUGAUGCAGCCAUGCCGCGUGUGUGAAGAAGGCCUUCGGGUUGUAAAGCACUUUCAGCGGGGAGGAAGGCGUUAAGGUUAAUAACCUUGGCGAUUGACGUUACCCGCAGAAGAAGCACCGGCUAACUCCGUGCCAGCAGCCGCGGUAAUACGGAGGGUGCAAGCGUUAAUCGGAAUUACUGGGCGUAAAGCGCACGCAGGCGGUCCGUCAAGUCGGAUGUGAAAUCCCCGGGCUCAACCUGGGAACUGCAUUCGAAACUGGCAGGCUAGAGUCUUGUAGAGGGGGGUAGAAUUCCAGGUGUAGCGGUGAAAUGCGUAGAGAUCUGGAGGAAUACCGGUGGCGAAGGCGGCCCCCUGGACAAAGACUGACGCUCAGGUGCGAAAGCGUGGGGAGCAAACAGGAUUAGAUACCCGUGUAGUC
rnacentral:rRNA from 1 species